GCAUAUCAAUAAGCGGAGGAAAAGAAACCAACAGGGAUUGCCUUAGUAGCGGCGAGUGAAGCGGCAAGAGCUCAAAUUUGAAAUCUGGUACCUUCGGUGCCCGAGUUGUAAUUUGAAGAAAGCUGUCUUGGAGUUGGCCUUUGUCUAUGUUCCUUGGAACAGGACGUCACAGAGGGUGAGAAUCCCGUGCGAUGAGGUGUCCAAUUCUUUAUAAGACGUUUUCGAAGAGUCGAGUUGUUUGGGAAUGCAGCUCAAAGUGGGUGGUAAAUUCCAUCUAAAGCUAAAUAUUGGCGAGAGACCGAUAGCGAACAAGUACUGUGAAGGAAAGAUGAAAAGAACUUUGAAAAGAGAGUGAAAAAGUACGUGAAAUUGUUGAAAGGGAAGGGUAUUCAAUCAGACUUGGUAUUUAGUUAUCAUUACUCCUUGUGGGUGGUGCUCUAGCUUUUUACUGGGCCAGCAUCAGUUUUGGUGGCAAGAUAAUGGCAGUUGAAUGUAGCUCAUUGAGUAUUAUAGCUUCUGCUGAUAUUGCCUACUGAGACUGAGGUCUGCGGCUUUUGCCUAGGAUGCUGGCGUAAUGAUUGAAUACCGCCCGUCUUGAAACAUGGACCAAGGAGUCUAACGUCUAUGCGAGUGUUUGGGUGUAAAACCCGUACGCGUAAUGAAAGUGAACGUAGGUCAGGGCCCUUUUUGGGUGCAUGAUCGACCGAUCCUGAUGUUUUCAGAUGGAUUUGAGUAAGAGCAUAGCUGUUGGGACCCGAAAGAUGGUGAACUAUGCCUGAAUAGGGUGAAGCCAGAGGAAACUCUGGUGGAGGCUCGUAGCGGUUCUGACGUGCAAAUCGAUCGUCAAAUUUGGGUAUAGGGGCGAAAGACUAAUCGAACCAUCUAGUAGCUGGUUCCUGCCGA
rnacentral:rRNA from 1 species